rnacentral:lncRNA from 1 species
GCUCUGUGGUGGGUUUUGUGUCAUAUUUGACUUUCCCGCAAUGCCUGGCAGGUGGAAGGCCGAAGAACUCCGUCCUUGACGAACGUUGCACUAUCGCUGCGGCACCAGUUGUGACAGUUGUUCCACGAGCACAAGGGAGACAGGAGCUCUGCUAUGGAGAACCUGCAGCACUGCAUCGCGGCUUCUGUGGGCUUUCUGUCACAUGUUUGCCAUGCAAUGUGACUUUACUUCGCACUAUCGAGUCUGUUGUCAUUUCUGCUUUCCCUUGAGGGACCUUCGGCGAUCGUCCAACCUUUUCUUCUACGUUAUCACGCCUCCUGAACGAUACGUUGUCACUUCAAAUAUAUGGUAAUGCGCAAUCCACGUGAACUUCCUGCGCGGUGGAAAAGUGGUUGUCUAGUGGUAGAUUGCUGUCUGCCCUCGUACUGUUAUCAAUGAGGGCGGGUUAUGUCCCUAUGAAAAUCUCAAGUUCGUUCCCAUUCUUAGCUAUUUGCGUGAUCUCUCCGGUAGUGUGUAUCUCUGCUUCGCCUGAUUUCGUUGCUAAAGGUACUGGAUCAGAGUUGCACCGAAGUUCGUGUGGGCCCUCUCUUCCAACAACAUAUCCGGGACAGCAUUUCUGCAGUUGUGGGUGUCAAAUGGUAAUUCUGCCAGUCCGUCAUGGAAUAUGUUUAUUCCCUGGAGGUGAACGCCAGCUCUUCGUGAGGAUUACUAGUCAGUUCUCCCCACGGGGACAACGCUUUUUCUGUGUCGCAGCGUGACAUGUUUGGGUGUCUAGCACGUCGCUGCUGUAACUGUAGCUGCUGCUAGGCAAGAAGAAACCCUCUUUUCGGAAAGACCGAUGGUGACUGAUGUUUGAAACCUUCAGCUAACAACAGGUACGCGUAUCGCGUUGAGGCCUGAAGCAUAUCCAGCGUAUCCAAAUUGGG